GAGUUUGAUCUUGGCUCAGAACGAACGCUGGCGGCAUGCCUAACACAUGCAAGUCGAACGGGAUCCAGGCUUCGGCCUGGUGAGAGUGGCGGACGGGUGAGUAACGCGUGGGAACCUGCCCAAUGGUCUGGGAUAACCGCGGGAAACUGCGGCUAAUACCGGAUAAGCCCGAGAGGGGAAAGAUUUAUCGCCGAUGGAGGGGCCCGCGUCCGAUUAGGUAGUUGGUGAGGUAACGGCUCACCAAGCCGACGAUCGGUAGCUGGUCUGAGAGGAUGAUCAGCCACACUGGGACUGAGAUACGGCCCAGACUCCUACGGGAGGCAGCAGUGGGGAAUAUUGGACAAUGGGGGCAACCCUGAUCCAGCAAUGCCGCGUGAGUGAUGAAGGCCUUAGGGUUGUAAAGCUCUUUUGGCGGGGACGAUGAUGACGGUACCCGCAGAAUAAGCCCCGGCUAACUUCGUGCCAGCCGCCGCCGUAAC
rnacentral:rRNA from 1 species